AUGGCGCCGCGGGGAAGAUGGAAGGCCGAGGAGGUGGACGCCGGCAGCAACUGGCCCACAGCAGGAGGUGGGGUCGGAGACGUCGCGCUCCGGGUCGCCGAUGUCCGGCAGGGCCGCGGCGGUGGCCUCCGGCGAGGGAGCCAAAUGGAGGCGGGGCGAGACGCAGGUGGGACUCGCACAAAGGCAGCCAUGGCAUCGAGUGCGAGGAAGAAGCCCAGGGCGCGGGGCUUCGAGGCGAGGAGGAGGCCAUGGCAGGAGGCACGGCAGCGCUCUCCGGCAUCUCGAGGCGAAGGUGAACGACGGCGAGGAGGCCGACAGGCUCUGGCCUGGUUCCCUGGACCGAAGGAGGAGGGAGGGUGA
rnacentral:rRNA from 1 species